AAAAAGAAAAAAAAUAUUCUCCUAAUAAAAAAAAAUAAAAAAAAAACGCUUGUCGAAUUAAUAAUGAUGAAACAAAACGAUUAUUAAACAUGAGGAAGAACCAGGAAAAUAAUUUCAAAGGAAAAUAAAAUGAGAGUAAUAAGAAAACGAGAUGGAUGAAGAAGAAAAUGAAGAAGAAAAUGAAGAAGAAGAAGAAGAUGAAGAAGAGGAAUGGCUUUUCAGAAAUUUUUGCACAACGAUGUUUUUUUCCGACAUUUGUGAAAAGUGUAUUUUACUUCCAUUCAUUCGAAAACGCGGAUCCAACUUUUGAUUUUCGUUUAAUGUUACAAACGUCCUCACACGUACUCGCGUUCACGUUUAAACAAAACAAAACAAAAACAAAAAAUAAACUGAGGAAACGAAAAAAUAAACGAUCAUCAACUUAGGAUGAAUGGAAAUUGAUGGAUAGUAAAAGCAAAGGAAA